rnacentral:rRNA from 1 species
UACGAAGGGGGCUAGCGUUGCUCGGAAUCACUGGGCGUAAAGGGUGCGUAGGCGGGUCUUUUAAGUCAGGGGUGAGAUCCUGGAGCUCAACUCCAGAACUGCCUUUGAUACUGAGGAUCUUGAGUUCGGGAGAGGUGAGUGGGACUGCGAGUGUAGAGGUGAAAUUCGUAGAUAUUCGCAAGAACACCAGUGGCGAAGGCGGCUCACUGGCCCGAUACUGACGCUGAGGCACGAAAGCGUGGGGAGCAAACAGG